rnacentral:rRNA from 1 species
CCUACGGGGGGCAGCAGUAGGGAAUUUUCGGCAAUGGACGAGAGUCUGAACCAGCCAAGUAGCGUGAAGGAUGACUGCCCUAUGGGUUGUAAACUUCUUUUAUAUGGGAAUAAAAUGUUCCACGUGUGGGAUUUUGUAUGUACCAUAUGAAUAAGGAUCGGCUAACUCCGUGCCAGCAGCCGCGGUAAUACGGAGGAUCCGAGCGUUAUCCGGAUUUAUUGGGUUUAAAGGGAGCGUAGGUGGAUUGUUAAGUCAGUUGUGAAAGUUUGCGGCUCAACCGUAAAAUUGCAGUUGAAACUGGCAGUCUUGAGUACAGUAGAGGUGGGCGGAAUUCGUGGUGUAGCGGUGAAAUGCUUAGAUAUCACGAAGAACUCCGAUUGCGAAGGCAGUUCACUGGACUGCAACUGACACUGAGGCUCGAAAGUGUGGGUAUCAAACAGGAUUAGAUACCCCUGUAGUC